AACGCACGAGACCUGCGGACCUGCGGAGGGAUCAUUACCGAGUUAUACAACUCAUCAACCCUGUGAACAUACCUAUAACGUUGCCUCGGCGGGAACAGACGGCCCCGUAACACGGGCCGCCCCCGCCAGAGGACCCCCUAACUCUGUUUCUAUAAUGUUUCUUCUGAGUAAACAAGCAAAUAAAUUAAAACUUUUAACAAUGGAUCUCU
rnacentral:misc_RNA from 1 species